AGUGAACGCUGGCGGUAGGCCUAACACAUGCAAGUCGAACGGCAGCACCGUAAGAGCUUGCUCUUACGGGUGGCGAGUGGCGGACGGGUGAGCAAUACAUCGGAAUCUACUUUUUCGUGGGGGAUAACGUAGGGAAACUUACGCUAAUACCGCAUACGACCUACGGGUGAAAGCAGGGGAUCUUCGGACCUUGCGCGAUUGAAUGAGCCGAUGUCGGAUUAGCUAGUUGGCGGGGUAAAGGCCCACCAAGGCGACGAUCCGUAGCUGGUCUGAGAGGAUGAGCAGCCACACUGGAACUGAGACACGGUCCAGACUCCUACGGGAGGCAGCAGUGGGGAAUAUUGGACAAUGGGCGCAAGCCUGAUCCAGCCAUACCGCGUGGGUGAAGAAGGCCUUCGGGUUGUAAAGCCCUUUUGUUGGGAAAGAAAAGCAGCAGGUUAAUACCCCGCUGUUCUGACGGUACCCAAAGAAUAAGCACCGGCUAACUUCGUG
rnacentral:rRNA from 1 species